rnacentral:ncRNA from 1 species
CUUUAAAUUAUAUUUAUUUAUAAAUUUUAUUAUUUUAUAAAUAUAAAAUUUAAUUUUAGUUUAUAAUUUAUUUUAUUUUUAUAUUAUAUGUAAAUUUUUGUAUUAAUUAAAUAUUAUUUAAAAUAAUUAUUUAUACAGUAAUUAGAUUUAAAAAUUAAUGAAAAUUAGAUUUAGUAAUUAAUUAUAUAAUAGAAAAAAUUUGUGCCAGCAUUUGCGGUUAGACAAAUUAUUAAAAUAAAUUUUAUUGAUAUUAAAUAAGAUGAAUUUUUAUAAUAAUAUUAUAAUAAAAUGAUAAAAGUGAAAUUUUUUAUUUUUAUUAAUUUAUUUGAUUAAAAUUUGAUUUUUGAAAUUUAAAAUAUAAACUAGGAUUAGAUACCCUAUUAUUUUAAAAGUAAAGUUAAUAUUAAGGGAUUAUAAGAUAUGUUCUUUAAAUUUAAAAAAUUUGGCGGUAUUUUAUUCUAAUUAGAGGAAUCUGUUCUAUAAUUGAUAGUCCACGAUAAAUUUUACUUAAUUUAUUAAUUAAUAUAUCGUCGUUAACAAAAUAAUUUUUAAGAAUAUUUAAUUUUAUUAAAUUUGAUUAAGUUUUAUUUCAGAUCAAGAUGUUGUUUAUAAUUAUGAAGAAAUGGAUUACAAUAAAUUAAUUUAAAUGGAUAGUUUAUUGAAAAAUAAAUUUGAAAGUGGAUUUAAUAGUAAUUUAUAAAAAAUUUUAUAAAUGAUUAUGGCACUAAAAUAUGCACAUAUCGCCCGUCGCUCUUAUUACUCAAUAAGAUAAGUCGUAACAAAGUAGAUGUACUGGAAAGUGUAUCUAGAAAG